UUAAGCGACUAAGCGUACACGGUGGAUGCCCUGGCAGUCAGAGGCGAUGAAGGACGUGCUAAUCUGCGAAAAGCGUCGGUAAGGUGAUAUGAACCGUUAUAACCGGCGAUGUCCGAAUGGGGAAACCCAGUGCAAUUCGUUGCACUAUCGUUAACUGAAUACAUAGGUUAACGAGGCGAACCGGGGGAACUGAAACAUCUAAGUACCCCGAGGAAAAGAAAUCAACCGAGAUUCCCCCAGUAGCGGCGAGCGAACGGGGAGCAGCCCAGAGUCUGAAUCAGCUUGUGUGUUAGUGGAACGGUCUGGAAAGUCCGACGGUACAGGGUGAUAGUCCCGUACACCAAAAUGCACAGGCUGUGAACUCGAAGAGUAGGGCGGGACACGUGGUAUCCUGUCUGAAUAUGGGGGGACCAUCCUCCAAGGCUAAAUACUCCUGACUGACCGAUAGUGAACCAGUACCGUGAGGGAAAGGCGAAAAGAACCCCGGCGAGGGGAGUGAAAAAGAACCUGAAACCGUGUACGUACAAGCAGUGGGAGCACCUUCGGGUGUGACUGCGUACCUUUUGUAUAAUGGGUCAGCGACUUAUAUUCUGUAGCAAGGUUAACCGUAUAGGGGAGCCGCAGGGAAACCGAGUCUUAACUGGGCGUUAAGUUGCAGGGUAUAGACCCGAAACCCGGUGAUCUAGCCAUGGGCAGGUUGAAGGUUGGGUAACACUAACUGGAGGACCGAACCGACUAAUGUUGAAAAAUUAGCGGAUGACUUGUGGCUGGGGGUGAAAGGCCAAUCAAACCGGGAGAUAGCUGGUUCUCCCCGAAAGCUAUUUAGGUAGCGCCUCGUGAACUCAUCUUCGGGGGUAGAGCACUGUUUCGGCUAGGGGGUCAUCCCGACUUACCAACCCGAUGCAAACUACGAAUACCGAAGAAUGUUAUCACGGGAGACACACGGCGGGUGCUAACGUCCGUCGUGAAGAGGGAAACAACCCAGACCGCCAGCUAAGGUCCCAAAGUCAUGGUUAAGUGGGAAACGAUGUGGGAAGGCACAGACAGCCAGGAUGUUGGCUUAGAAGCAGCCAUCAUUUAAAGAAAGCGUAAUAGCUCACUGGUCGAGUCGGCCUGCGCGGAAGAUGUAACGGGGCUAAACCAUGCACCGAAGCUGCGGCAGCGACACUAUGUGUUGUUGGGUAGGGGAGCGUUCUGUAAGCCUGCGAAGGUGACCUGUGAGGGUUGCUGGAGGUAUCAGAAGUGCGAAUGCUGACAUAAGUAACGAUAAAGCGGGUGAAAAGCCCGCUCGCCGGAAGACCAAGGGUUCCUGUCCAACGUUAAUCGGGGCAGGGUGAGUCGACCCCUAAGGCGAGGCCGAAAGGCGUAGUCGAUGGGAAACAGGUUAAUAUUCCUGUACUUGGUGUUACUGCGAAGGGGGGACGGAGAAGGCUAUGUUAGCCGGGCGACGGUUGUCCCGGUUUAAGCAUGUAGGCUGGUUGUCCAGGCAAAUCCGGAUAAUCAAGGCUGAGGUGUGAUGACGAGGCACUACGGUGCUGAAGUAACAAAUGCCCUGCUUCCAGGAAAAGCCUCUAAGCAUCAGGUAACAUUAAAUCGUACCCCAAACCGACACAGGUGGUCAGGUAGAGAAUACCAAGGCGCUUGAGAGAACUCGGGUGAAGGAACUAGGCAAAAUGGUGCCGUAACUUCGGGAGAAGGCACGCUGGUGUGUAGGUGAAGCCCCUGCGGGUGGAGCUGAGACCAGUCGAAGAUACCAGCUGGCUGCAACUGUUUAUUAAAAACACAGCACUGUGCAAACACGAAAGUGGACGUAUACGGUGUGACGCCUGCCCGGUGCCGGAAGGUUAAUUGAUGGGGUUAUCCGUAAGGAGAAGCUCUUGAUCGAAGCCCCGGUAAACGGCGGCCGUAACUAUAACGGUCCUAAGGUAGCGAAAUUCCUUGUCGGGUAAGUUCCGACCUGCACGAAUGGCGUAAUGAUGGCCAGGCUGUCUCCACCCGAGACUCAGUGAAAUUGAACUCGCUGUGAAGAUGCAGUGUACCCGCGGCAAGACGGAAAGACCCCGUGAACCUUUACUAUAGCUUGACACUGAACAUUGAGCCUUGAUGUGUAGGAUAGGUGGGAGGCUUUGAAGCGUGGACGCCAGUCUGCGUGGAGCCAACCUUGAAAUACCACCCUUUAAUGUUUGAUGUUCUAACGUUGGCCCCUUACCGGGGUUGCGGACAGUGUCUGGUGGGUAGUUUGACUGGGGCGGUCUCCUCCCAAAGCGUAACGGAGGAGCACGAAGGUUAGCUAAUCCUGGUCGGACAUCAGGAGGUUAGUGCAAUGGCAUAAGCUAGCUUGACUGCGAGCGUGACGGCGCGAGCAGGUGCGAAAGCAGGUCAUAGUGAUCCGGUGGUUCUGAAUGGAAGGGCCAUCGCUCAACGGAUAAAAGGUACUCCGGGGAUAACAGGCUGAUACCGCCCAAGAGUUCAUAUCGACGGCGGUGUUUGGCACCUCGAUGUCGGCUCAUCACAUCCUGGGGCUGAAGUAGGUCCCAAGGGUAUGGCUGUUCGCCAUUUAAAGUGGUACGCGAGCUGGGUUUAGAACGUCGUGAGACAGUUCGGUCCCUAUCUGCCGUGGGCGCUGGAGAAUUGAGGGGGGCUGCUCCUAGUACGAGAGGACCGGAGUGGACGCAUCACUGGUGUUCGGGUUGUCAUGCCAAUGGCACUGCCCGGUAGCUAAAUGCGGAAGAGAUAAGUGCUGAAAGCAUCUAAGCACGAAACUUGCCCCGAGAUGAGUUCUCCCUGAGACUUUAAGUCUCCUGAAGGAACGUUGAAGACGACGACGUUGAUAGGCCGGGUGUGUAAGCGCAGCGAUGCGUUGAGCUAACCGGUACUAAUGAACCGUGAGGCUUAACCUU
rnacentral:rRNA from 1 species